CCCCCCCCCCCCCCCCCCCCCCCCCCCCCCCCCCCCCCCCCCCCCCCCCCCCCCCCCCCCCCCCCCCCCCCCCCCAGGAGGAGGAGGAGGAGGAGGAGGAGGAGGAGGAGGAGGAGGAUUCAGGAGCUGAUCCCUGCCCCGAUCCCGGAGCCGAUCCCGGAGCCGAUCCCGGAGCCGAUGGGGCUCUCCAGGCGCCCCCACGCCGCCGGCGCCCGCUCAGCUCCGAGGGGCUGGAGCCAGAGGCCGAGGAAGGGAUCCCAGCACAGGUGAGCAACGGCGAGGCCGGAGGAGAGUCCCAGAUCCGGAACCGCACCUGGAAGAGGGAGAGCAUCUGCAGAGGGGAGCGUUUCUCCUUCCCGGCCGUGGAGGACGAGGUCAUCUACGACGACGUUCCGUGUGAGGGGCUGGAUGCGGAGCAGGACGGCGCGGGGCUGAUCUACACCGAGGUGCAGCGCGGGGAGGGGACGCGCCUGGGCCAGGACCUGGGCUGGAGCUCCAGCGACUUCGAGAGCUACAGCGACUCCGGGGAGGAAUCGCGGCCGGAAUCGCGGCGGGACAGCGAGCGCGCCAAGCUGCGGGCGGCCUUCCAGCCCCGGCUCUCUCCAGACCUCCAAAAACUCAAGGAAAAAUGCGCCAGGACUAAGAGGGAGCUCCUGGCUCUGAGAGUUGGGGGGAAGGAAAUGCAGGAGCUGAAGCACAAAUCCGAUUGGAAGGUACCGAUGCCAUCCCGAAAUUCCCGAAAUUCCCAGCGUGGGGGGGACAAAAUUCCCAUCAUGGAAUGAAUCCAGGCUGGGCUCACCCCAUUCCCGUCCCAAAAAAUCAGCCUGGAGCUGCCAAGGGAUUCAGGGAUUCGGGAGGGGAUUCAGGAAUUUGGGAAGGAAUUGAGGAAUUCAGGAAUUCAGGAAUCCAGGAAGGAAUUCAGGAAUUCUGGAGGGAAGGAGGGAAGUAAGGAAUUCAAGAAUUCAGAAAGGAAUUUGGGAAUUCAGGUAGGAAUAGAGGAAGGAAUUGAAGAAUUCAGGAGGGAAGGAAGGGAUUGAGGAAGGGAUUGAGGAAUUUGGGGUGGAAUUCAGGGAGGAAUGAAGGAAUUCAAUAAUUCAGGAAUUCAGGAAGGAAUUCAGAAAUUCAGGAAGUAAUUGAAGAAUUCAGGAAGCAAUUCAGGAAUUCAGGAAGCAAUUCAGGAAGGAAUUUAGGAAUUGAGGAAUUGAGGAAGGGAUUCAGGAAUCCAAGAGGGAAGGGGGGAAUACAGGAAGGAAGGAAGAAGAAUUUUGGGAGUUGUGGAACUUCAGGGCAGAGCCUUUCCCACCCCAUCCCAUUCCCGCUGGCUUUCCAUGGGGU
rnacentral:lncRNA from 12 species